GCCCUCGUGGUGUAACGGUAGCACACUCGACGCGUAUUCGAGAGGUCCAGGUUCGAGUCUCUUCGAGGGCA
rnacentral:tRNA from 1 species